CAAUUCGUUUCAUCCGCCGCUCCACCUUUCUCUACAAACCCUAGAUCCUCCACCGCUCCUCCACCUUUCAUCCAUGGAACCGGUCGUCGCCAUCACCGUCUUCUCCCCUUCUCUACUCCAACAGUCGCUUCAUGAUCUAGGGUUUCACUGAGAAACCAGUCGUUUCAUGAUCUAGGGUUUCUCUGUAGAUCCGACGCUAUCUCAACAUAUUCGACACCAGAUCCGACACCAGAUCGAUUUCUAUGGCUUUAUUCCCGGUGGCUUCAAGAUCCCACACUAUCUCAGUAGAUCCGACACCCGAUCUACUGGUUUGACUAUCUUCCGUUUGGUUGUGGGUUCGUCAACGAUGGUGGUUGUGGGUGGAAGAUCUGGCAGAUCUCUAUUCUUUGUCGUUGCUUAUUGUAUCACACAAAUAACUGAAGAUGGUGUUGGUGGAGUUAGCUGGGAGCAUUUCAGGUGCUCUGCAGCAGAUGAGCAAUGCGACAAUCAUAGACGAGAAGAUCCUCAAUAUUGGCUUAAACGACAUGAAUCGUGCCUUGCUUCAAUUCGACAUUCAGUUCAUGCUUGUUGGAUAACCAGUCGAUCUCUACAAAAUUUCAGCAAUGGAGCUCCUCAUCCUCUUCAAGUGCUCAUGGAUAAAGAAAAUCAGCUGGUAUUGUGUUUAAGUUGCUUCUGUUUUCUGUUCGCCUUUAAACCCACUUUGAGGAUUCAAAUCAGGGAAGACACUGACUUUCUAGCAAGCAUGGACUGACGGGAGAUUCUGUCAAGCAUGAUCUUGACCUAUGUUGUCAAAAGUGAGCUAGAUGCACGCCUAGGCGAGGCGAGACUAAACUGCCUGGUGGAAAGCUGGGCGCAGACCUGUGACUUUUUAAAAAAAAAAAGCACUCAAGCGCUCCCUUGGAGCCAGGCGCAGGUUGGGAUAUUUUUGGAGUAAUUUCAUCACUGGAGUUUGGUUUUCUAGUCACAAAAGCUACCAAGCCAUUUUCAGAAGCUGCUGAAGCUGUAGAUUUGGUGAAAAGACUAAGCAAAGAGAUAUAUACAUUGGAGAUAGUGUUGAAAUUAUAAUCCUACAUGCUAAUGGUGUUCGAUGCGAAAGUGAGCAACUGCACAAAGAUUAGUUACAAAAUAGAAGAUUGUCCCAGUUUGCCUGUUAGUUCUUAAUUACUAUUGCAUGAUUAUGGCUAGGGACAAGGUGGUUUUUUGCUAACCUUAUCUUUAUGUUAUUAAACCAAAUUAUCUUAACAAGGUGGUCCACAUAACCAUACAAUAAGAGGACUUGUAGCUUACUUGAAGUAGGCUCAGUCUCCAGAGUUCAAUGCUAAAUAGAACCAGGUUUAUUCCAUCUUUUUUUUUGUUAGAAUCACAAGAAGCAACCUUUUGAUUUUUUUAACUGGUUCAGUGGUUUAACAUGGUGCUCUUGCAGGUUGUUUCUAAUUGUCGAGUUCUUGCUAAACGAUUGAUGGAGCUAGAAUACACAUUGGCCUUCUUACAAGUGAUAGAUUGGAGAACAGACUUGAAAUAGAGAGAUGAUUUUGUACAUUUAUUUAAAGAGUUUUAUUGACUUAGGAGAUAAACUAAAAGUUGAAUUGUUUAUACUAACUAAGGUCAAGGUUCAAGUACAGCCUUUUGAUGUUA